ACUCCUACGGGAGGCAGCAGUGGGGAAUAUUGGACAAUGGGCGCAAGCCUGAUCCAGCAAUGCCGCGUGUGUGAAGAAGGCCUUCGGGUUGUAAAGCACUUUUAUCAGGAGCGAAAUACCACGGGUUAAUACCCUAUGGGGCUGACGGUACCUGAGGAAUAAGCACCGGCUAACUUCGUGCCAGCAGCCGCGGUAAUACGAAGGGUGCAAGCGUUAAUCGGAAUUACUGGGCGUAAAGCGUGCGUAGGCGGUGACUUAAGUCUGCUGUGAAAUCCCCGGGCUCAACCUGGGAAUGGCAGUGGAUACUGGGUCGCUAGAGUGUGAUAGAGGAUGGUGGAAUUCCCGGUGUAGCGGUGAAAUGCGUAGAGAUCGGGAGGAACAUCAGUGGCGAAGGCGGCCAUCUGGAUCAACACUGACGCUGAGGCACGAAAGCGUGGGGAGCAAACAGGAUUAGAAACCCUAGUAGUCC
rnacentral:rRNA from 1 species